UACGAAGGGGGCUAGCGUUGCUCGGAAUCACUGGGCGUAAAGGGUGCGUAGGCGGAUCUUUAAGUCAGGGGUGAAAUCCUGGAGCUCAACUCCAGAACUGCCUUUGAUACUGAGGAUCUCGAGUUCGGGAGAGGUGAGUGGAACUGCGAGUGUAGAGGUGAAAUGCGUAGAUAUUGGGAGGAACACCGGUGGCGAAGGCGGCCCCCUGGACCGGUACUGACGCUGAGGCGCGAAAGCGUGGGUAGCAAACGGG
rnacentral:rRNA from 1 species